rnacentral:tRNA from 1 species
GUUUUAAUAGUUUAAAUAAAACAAUGAUUUUGUAAAUCAUAAAUAGAGAAUAUCUUUAAAACU